GAAUAUGCCACCCAGCUCUCCCUUCUAGGAAGGACCUGCUGCCCUGUUAUGGGGAGUAUAGUCAGCAGGCAGUCUCUAGCUCUCAGCUCCUUCAGGGUCUGUCCUGAAGAAUUUACUAGUUAUAUUUCCUGAGUUGUAUUUCCAUGCCAUGCAGGGCCCCAGGGGAAGCACCUGGUCAGGCUGCAGAAGCAGGGGUGGCGGAAAGCCUGGGCCAUGGCUUUUGUUGGGGUUUCUACAGGAAAGGCAAGGCAGGGCAGAGCACACAGCUGGGAUUGGCCAGUUUGAAUCAUUCUGGCAGGCUUUGGCCCUAAGGGUGGUCUCUAGUUGGUACCUGGUCCUGGGAUGAUCUCAGGCCGGGCUCGAAUAAUUGGCCAGUGUGUGAGGGUAAGAUAAAGGGGCUGGUUGGGGUAUAGGCUCAGGACUGGUUGUUUUGCACAUGCAAGGGUGCCCUGGCAGAGCCCUUGCUCUCUCUGAGAAUUGGCUGGCCCUGGGAAGGGCAGUCUCUUCCCCAGCAGCAAAAAUUUUAAGAUAUCGAAACAUCAUAAGACUUAGAAAACUGCACACUUGAUUGAUAGAACGCUGGUGGCAGAGCCCCACUCUGGGCUGACUGAGACUUUGUGGGGUCUGAUUGCUGUCUGACUCCUGCCCAGCCCUGUCUUCUUUCUUCACUCUUCACAGGUAUGGAUCUCUAGCAAACAUCUUGGACCACUAUCUCCUUCUCAGCGCCAGCCUCUGGGGAACCCAACCUAUGACAUCUCCUCUCUAGUAACCCUGGCAGCUAACUCCUGCCAGUCGGGUGGGAUGCUCACCAGUAGGCAGUUGUGUCUGACCCCAGGCCCACUUACAUCCAUUGUACUCAUGAUGGUGAAGGUCAACUUUGAUGCUAUCUCUCACAGAGAGAUGUAAUGUGAUAAAGGAGGCGUGUGAAAAGAAUUCUUUGCAUUAAAAACUCAAAGAAGACAGAAGGACCACCUGACUUCUGAGAGCACCCCCAGCAUCUACCUCGAUGUUCUCCGACAGAUUCUUCACAGGUAUGAGCCGUCCACUAGGGCUGGUCAGAGAGAGGCCACCAACAGUUCCGCUGACAUCAAAGUGACUUCGGGUUGGGAAGGGGCUUUUUGGGAAACUUAUCAUCUGAAACCAAGAACAGAGAGUGUCAGCGAAGGCCCUGAAGGUCCCUAUGUGAAAGAUGAGGUUUCCUGAGAUGAGAUGGCUCCUGACUGUCCUCUGUGGAGCCAAAGGAUGGGACAGCAGGAAGGGUGAAGGUCGCAGAGCUGGCAGCAGCAACAUGCACAGAGGAACCUCGCCAAUUCCAGGGCUGUAUUCUGUCCGCAAGAGAUGGAGGGGGUGGCCAGAGUGGCUGGAAGGCCCCCAGGCAGUCUUCCCAGCAGGAGGGCAGCCUGCACGUGCUCCACGGCUCUGAGCACCUGGGAUACUGUGGCUGUCUGGAAAAGGAAGCAGGGGAUACUGCUGAGGACCGGUCUCCAUAUACCACCUCUGGUUACCAUCCCCAGGUGCUUCUGCUCUGUCCCUCAGAGAUGCUUCCAGCACGCUGCCCACAGCCUGGAACAGGUCCCUGGUGGCCGCCUGGCGCCUCCAGUUCUCAGGAUGGGCCUUGGCACUCACUACCAACAGGGCCUCGCUGGCACGCUGCAGAGCACAGCUGGCCUCCCACUGGGCUCACCCAAAGGAGAAGGAAGAACAGCAUGAGCCCCUGCGUGGGACAGACCAUCCCCAGCACCAUUCAAGAGGCCAGUGCUGCAGUGGAGGGGAGCAAGGUGGGGAUUCAAGCCAGGGAAAAUCCAGCCAGGCCCGACACACAAGCUGCCUGUAUUGCUGACUUGAGGGCAGAGCUCUUAAAACCUUCUGCAUUGCCCAGUUAGAGCUUGACAUCUUUUCCCUGCCAGGACCCUGGCAUUUCAUGGGAAGACCUUGGGACAGGCUGUGCAGGACAGGACCACAAGAUACCCAAAGGAAAGUUUGCCGACAGAGGUCAUUUUGGCCUCCAGAGUUGCAGAGGAGAUACUGAUGGGACCUGCUUCUCAUCUCGCUGAGGUGUGUGGCAGCUGCCAGAGAGAGGCGGGCGCCUGUUCUUGCAGAAGAUGAGCCCAGGAGCUGAGGGGAGAGCAUAGUCCCGAGUGGUACCUGAUUCCAGACAGAAGCAGUACUCCAGGGGGCCCGGGGCGGCCGAGGCGUUGCAGAAGAUGGCGAAGCUCGUCAGAACAGUGCCCUCGCCCGGGGCAGUGAUGCAGAAGAAGCAGCUGGCUGAUGAAACAUCUUUUGCAAGUGGUGCCCCCUGCUUCCACCCCAGAGCAAUCUGUGCCAGGGGUGGCCAAGUGUAAGGUGUGGAAUGAAGACAGACCCUUCUUAUCCCCCUGCGCGUCAGGGGAUGGAUCACUGGAACAAGAUGAACAUUCAGAGCCCUGUUCUGAGGAGCCCCUAACUGGAUCCUGAG